rnacentral:rRNA from 1 species
UACGGGGGGGGCAAGCGUUGUUCGGAAUUACUGGGCGUAAAGGGCUCGUAGGCGGCCAACUAAGUCAGACGUGAAAUCCCUCAGCUUAACUGGGGAACUGCGUCUGAUACUGGAUGGCUUGGAUUCGGGAGAGGAAUGCGGAAUUCCAGGUGUAGCGGUGAAAUGCGUAGAUAUCUGGAGGAACACCGGUGGCGAAGGCGGCAUUCUGGACCGAUAUUGACGCUGAGGAGCGAAAGUCAGGGGAGCAAACGGG